rnacentral:tRNA from 1 species
GGGCGAUUAGCUCAGUGGUUAGAGCAACGCUUUUACACAGCGAAGGUCGGGGGUUCGAAUCCCUCAUCGCCCA